rnacentral:rRNA from 1 species
CGCCAAAUAGCUAGCCCACUUAACCAAAAACAACACCACCUCAUUAAUAAACCCAAACACCUCAAACCACACAAAACAAAUC